CUCUAUGGCCAUACCAGUCUGAAAGUGCCUGAUCUCGACAGAUCUCAGAAACCAUCUGGACUUGGACCUGGUUAGUCCAGGGAGACAAACUAGGAACCUCAGGUGCCGUAAGCU